rnacentral:misc_RNA from 1 species
UGGUUCUGGCAUCGAUGAAGAACGCAGCGAAAUGCGAUAAGUAAUGCGAAUUGCAAAAUCCGUGAGUCAUCGAAUCUUUGAACGCACAUUGCGCCCUUUGGUAUUCCGAAGGGCAUGCCUGUUCGAGCGUCAUUAUCACCACUCAAGCGCGGCUUGCUGUUGGUGGUGGCGGGACCUGUGUCCGCGGUCGGUUCGACCGCGGGGCGCCGCCCCACCCAAAGAUAAUGACGGCGUCUGUGAGGACCCCUGUACACUGAGCUCUCGGGCACGUACACGGCGGGACGAGCAGAGGCCGGUCGACGGUCCGUCGGGGACCACACCAAUAACCAGGUUGACCUCGGAUCAGGUAGGGAUACCCGCUGA